AUCGACGACUCAGCUGCGCCAUAAGCACCCACACGAAUUGCUUGAUUCAUUGAAGAAGACGAUUAGAAGCAGCGCCCGAGUUCGGGUCUGUAGCUCAGUUGGUUAGAGCGCACCCCUGAUAAGGGUGAGGUCGGCAGUUCGAAUCUGCCCAGACCCACCAGUUUACUGGUGAGAUAGCUGGUCAGAGAGACGCCUCCACGGUAUGUAGAAAUACGGGGCCAUAGCUCAGCUGGGAGAGCGCCUGCCUUGCACGCAGGAGGUCAGCGGUUCGAUCCCGCUUGGCUCCACCACUUACUGCUUCUGUUUGAAAGCUUAGAAAUGAGCAUUCCAUUGAUCUUGAUGAUCAGUGCCUGAAUGUUGAUUUCUAGUCUUUGAUUAGAUCGUUCUUUAAAAAUUUGGGUAUGUGAUAGAAAGAAAUAUAGACCGGGCACCUCUUUCACUGGUGUGUGUCCGGGCUAAGGUAAAGUUUGUGAAAUGCAAACUUUCGGCGAAUGUCGUCUUCACAGUAUAACCAGAUUGCUUGGGGUUAUAU
rnacentral:tRNA from 1 species